GGACUACACGGGUAUCUAAUCCCGUUCGCUCCCCUGGCUUUCGCGCCUCAGCGUCAGAAGGGGUCCAGCACGCCGCUUUCGCCACCGGCGUUCCUUCGGAUAUCUACGCAUUUCACCGCUCCACCCGAAGUUCCGCAUGCCCCUACCCCCCUCAAGAGACCCAGUAUCGGAGGCCGUCUUCCGGUUGGGCCGAAAGAUUUCACCCCCGACUUGAGCCCCCGCCUACGCGCCCUUUAAGCCCAGUGAAUCCGAACAACGUUCGCACGGUUCGUCUUACCGCGGCUGCUGGCAC
rnacentral:rRNA from 2 species